UCUGAACCCACGAAGAAGCUCAGAAUCCACAGUGCAACUGAAGCCUGGACUGGCUGUGUGGAAAGGAGUCUAUCCACAUCCCAAGGUUAACAGGAUAAGAAGUGGUGGCUUGGGAGACAAAGGCCCCUGUGUAAAAUCUCAGCCUGAACUAACCGAGAAGCCCUCUUUUUGACAUGAACCUAUUACCAAGGGGGCAAACCCUACCCGAAAGUUUUGAAGACUUUGUACUACCAGACCUCCUGUGGAAGAUGGGCAAUCCCUGAUCCCCAUCUUUGUCAGACCUUGGGGAAAGUAAUCACACUGUGGAAUCUGGGCUUGAUGAUGAGGAGAUUUAGAAGUAAAACUCAGCAGCAUAUGGAUGGCACAGCAGUCCAAAAUAUCCCACCAUCUCCCUGAGUGUCUUCACAUAUACACUGAAUGUGAUGGACCCUACAUUUGAGGGCUGUUGGGUAACAGAAGCAGUUAUCCGGCAGUGCCCCGU